GACGAACGCUGGCGGCGUGCCUAAUACAUGCAAGUAGGACGCAGUUGCGAACGGGUGAGUAACGCGUAGGUAACUACCUAUUAGAGGGGGAUAACUAUUGGAAACGAUAGCUAAUACCGCCUACUAGUAGAUGGACCUGCGUUGUAUUAGCUAGUGUGUAGGGUAAUGGCCUACCUAGGCAACGAUACAUAGCCGACCUGGAGAGGUGAUCGGCCACACUGGGACUGGGACACGGGCCAGACUCCUACGGGAGGGAGCAGGAGGGAAUCUUCGGCAAUGGGGGGAACCCUGACCGAGCAAAGGCGCGUGAGUGAAGAAGGUUUUCGGAUCGUAAAGCUCUGUUGUGAAGGAAGCGGUACUUAACCAGAAAGGGACGGCUAACUACGUGCCAGCCGCCGCGGUAAUAC
rnacentral:rRNA from 1 species